CUGUCAAUAUCGUUUUUUAAUAGCAACGAGUUCAACAUACAAAUUCUGGGAAGGUAAAAAUAGUUGACACAGCACAUUUUUUUAAAACUCAUUUCCCAAUUGAAAUUGCUUCAUUAUUAUCAUUUUUAGCAAAAUGUAGACUGCAUAAAAAUGAAUUACUAGAAGGUUGGAAAUUAUAUAGUCAGUCAAACAGCAUGUAUCCA